CGAUCGGGAGGCUUGUGGUGGGACAUGAGCCGGGAAUUGACCGUAACCCAUCGUCUCGAAAGGACGCGGUGCAGGAGCCCGACUGCAUGCGCG
rfam:Roseovarius aestuarii strain CECT 7745 genome assembly, contig: 0015